rnacentral:rRNA from 1 species
GGAGCCUAACGCGUUUAAGCGCGCCCGCCCUGGGGGAGUACCGGUCGGCAAAGACCUAAAACUCAAAGAAAUUUGACCGGGGACCCCGCACCAAGCGGUUGGAGGAUUGUGGGCUUAAUUCGAUGCAACGCGAAAGAACCUUACCCAAGACUUGACAUGUAUUGCUAAGCACCGUGAAAGCGUGUGAGCCUUCGGGGACCUUACACAGGUGCUGCGUGGCCGUCGUCAGCUCGUGUCGUGAGAUGUUUGGUUAAGUCCAGCAACGAGCGCAACCCCUGUGAAUAGUUGCCAGCACGUAAUGGUGGGGACUCUAUUCAGACCGCCCGGGUCAACCGGGAGGAAGGUGGGGAUGACGUCAGGUCAGUAUGGCCCUUACGUCUGGGGCUGCACACGUACUACAAUGCUCAGUACAAUGAGAACCGAGACCGCGAGGUGGAGGAAAUCUAUAAAACUGAGCCCAGUUCGGAUUGGAGGCUGCAACUCGCCUCCAUGAAGUCGGAAUCGCUAGUAAUGGCACAUCAGCUACGGUGCCGUGAAUACGUUCCCGGGUCUUGUACACACCGCCCGUCACAUCAUGGAAGCCGGUCGCACCCGAAGUAU